GCGCCCGUAGCUCAACUGGACAGAGCGACUGACUACGAAUCAGUAGGCCGGAGGUUCGAAUCCUCUCGGGCGCUCUA
rnacentral:tRNA from 1 species